AAUUUUUCUUACCUAUCAAAUAACAUAUAAUUUGAAAUUUAUCGAGAAGGUCCCAAAAUCUCAACAACCCGGAAUCUGAUUUCUCAAUUCUCGCUUCACCGUGUCUCAAGAACUCACGUUCACUCUGUAAUAAUACGAUGUGUGAAUCAACUAUUUUGGUGUUCUUUGAAUCAACGAUUUGUGAACCAUGAAGCAAGAUGAGGAAUUUGAAAACCCUUCUCCUUCGCAUCGGCGAAAAGGGUCCUGAGUACGGCACUUCCUCCGACUACAAAGACCAUAUUGAGACUUGUUUUGGUGUUAUUAGGAGAGAAAUCGAGCGUUCUGGAGACCAAGUUUUGCCUUUGCUAUUUCAAUGUGCUGAACAAUUGCCUCACAAGAUUCCUUUGUGUGGGACUUUGAUUGGUUUGUUGAACUUGGAGAAUGAAGAUUUUGUUCGGAGGAUGAUAGAAAGUGUCCAAGUUGAUUUCCAGGUGAAUAACCUAAUAUAGAAUCUGGUUAGAGGAAGGGAGUGGGAAGAGGUGUAUCAUGUUAUCUAAGUUUCGCUUACGAAGAACUCAGUAGAGCCACUUAUGGGUUUAACAGAAAGCUUAAGAUCGGUGAAGGUGGAUUCGGUAGUGUUUUUAAAGGAAAGAUUCUGACCACUGGAGGAGCUGAUUCUGAUCCUCCACUUGUCGUCGCCAUUAAGAAACUCAACCAACAAGGUUUACAGGGCCACAAGCAAUGGCUAGCAGAGGUUCAGUUUCUAGGGGUAGUGAAUCAUCAGAACGUUGUGAAACUCAUAGGUUAUUGCUCAGAGGACGGCGAGACUGGGAUCGAGAGGCUUUUGGUUUAUGAGUACAUGUCGAAUAAAAGUUUAGAGGACCAUCUCUUCAGCCGUUGAUCAUGCACUUUACCGUGGAGAAAAAGACUCGAGGUCAUGCUUGGUGCAGCUGAAGGAUUGGCUUAUUUACAUGAACUUAAGGUUAUAUAUAGAGAUUUCAAAUCAUCAAAUGUGCUCUUAAACGAUGAAUUCUGUCCGAAAUUAUCGGACUUUGGGCUGGCCAGAGAAGGACCAGAGGGGGACAAUACUCAUGUCACAACCACAGUAAGAAUUGAAAAUGUUUCUGUUAAUUUAUGUCGUUGUUUUAGUGUUGUGUAUUUGGCUUGUUCUGUUUGGUUUGACUUGAAAUUUCAGAACCAUGUAAAGCUUUAUUAGUAUGAGGUAGAGUUACUAACUUGAUGGUGAGAAGUAGGUUUUGCAUAAUAACUUGGCUUGGUGGUGAGUUACUUAAUUUGAUGGGUUCAUUUUUGACAUUGAGUGUGUAAGUACGUGGGAUGUUUUAUCAUGCUUUUGAUGGAUAUAUGAACAAUGCUUUUCCACUUGAUGAAUUGAGACCGUUAUCUUGCCAAGGUGAAGAUACACUUGGAGGCUAUGCGUUGACCUUGAUUGAUUCGUUGGAUACAUUAGCUUUACUUGGAGACCGAGAGCGCUUCACUUCUUCUGUUUUAUGGAUUGGUAAAAAUCUUCAGUUUAAUAUAGUGAGUAAUGAUUGGUUUUGGCUUGGUGUGGUCCUUGCAAAGUGAUUGCUCCCAAAUACAAAGAGCUAUCUGUGAAGUACCAGGAUAUGGUGUUUCUUAAGCUUGACUUCAACCAAGACAACAAGCCAUUGGCAAAGGAGCUAGGAAUUAGAGUGGGUCCGACCUUUAAGAUCUUGAAGGACAACAAAGUAAUAAAGGAAGUAACAGGGCUAAAUAUGAAGACUUGCUUGCAGCCAUUGAUGCAACAAGGUUAGGCUGAGUCUCUCUCAAUCACUCAUGCUGUAAAGUAUAAGGAUAAUCCUCCAUCUUA